GAUGAACGCUGGCGGCGUGCCUAACACAUGCAAGUCGAACGGACGGACGAUAAGCUCGCGUUCCUGAUGUUAGCGGCGGACGGGUGAGUAACACGUGGAUAGCCUUCCUCUAAGACUGGGAUAACUUCGGGAAACCGGAGCUAAUACUAGAUAAUAUUUUGAACGGCAUGGUUCAAAAGUGAAUGACGGUUUUGCUGACACUUAUAGCUGGAUCCGCGCUGGAUUAGCUAGUUGGUAAGGUAACGGCUUACCAAGGCAACGAUGCAUAGCCGACCUGAGAGGGUGAUCGGCCACACUGGAACUGAGACACGGUCCAGACUCCUACGGGAGGCAGCAGUAGGGAAUCUUGCACAAUGGGCGAAAGCCUGACGCAGCAACGCCGCGUGAGUGAUGAAGGUCUUCGGAUCGUAAAACUCUGUUGUUAGGGAAGAACAUAUGUGUAAGUAACUGUGCACGUCUUGACGGUACCUAAUCAGAAAGCAACGGCUAACUACGUG
rnacentral:rRNA from 1 species